rnacentral:tRNA from 1 species
CCCGCCUUAGCUCAGUUGGAUAGAGCGGGCCCGUCCUAAGGGCAAGGUCGGGGGUUCGAGUCCCUCAGGCGGGA